UCCCGAAAAUUUUCAUUUUUGGAAAUCUUCUGCAGAUUUCUCUCCCGAGCCCAGAUUUCGGCCUCUCUCUUCCACCGGCCAUAUCUCCCUCCACAGACCUCCGAUCGACUUAAUUCCAAAAGAAAUUUCAUUCACCUUGAAGUCAGUUAAAACUUCCUAGAAGACAUCAAAGUGAGAAAAGAACCGUGGAAGGCGUUAGGAGGCCGAGAAGCUGCACAGCUCGAGCUGGAAUUCGCCGAUGCUGCUCUUCCUUCACCGGCCGAUAUCUCUCUCAUCCGACCUCAAAUCGAGUUGAUUCCAAAAGGGAUUUUGCUAGGCUUGAGCUAUAUUAGAACUUUGUAGAAGAGAUCGAAGGGAAAUAACCAACGUGGUAGCCUAUACAAGUCGAAGAACACGGUAUAGUCGAGCUGGAAAUCACCUCCCUUCCCCAGCGUCAUUCUCCCUCCUCCGGCCACCUUUUGCCGUGAUUCUUGAGGGAAUUCUGCACUUCUGAGGAUGUAGAUCAUUUCCCCUAAGGUGGAUUGCAUCGAUUUCAUCUGUAGAGAUCGAAUUGGAACGAAUUCAAAACUAGGGUUCAUCGGAUCCAUCGGCUUCUAAGGUGAUUGACGGUCUUCCUUGGUGAGCGGUUUUGAUGGGUUUUGUGAAAUUGAAGACGCAACGGGAUUAGAGGUAACGAGUAGAUGCAUGGGGGAAAAGGGGAUGAACCUACUAAAUAAAAGAAAGUUUUUCCUACUAUUAUUUCAAGAGAAUGAGUACUGUAAUAUAUUUUGCUAAACUUUGGUAUUGUAUAAAUAAUGAUUUCGUUUCCUAAUAAAAGUAUUAUUCAGAUA